rnacentral:rRNA from 1 species
CCAAUAGCGUAUAUUAAAGUUGUUGCAGUUAAAAAGCUCGUAGUUGAAUUUCGGGAUUUAUCCGUCGGUCGGGCUUUUGGGUCUGUACUGGCGUGAUGAAUUCCUACCUUCUGAAUAACCAGCAUGCCAUUAAUUUGGUGCGCCGGGGAGGCAGGACUGUUACCUUGAAAAAAUUAGAGUGCUUAAAGCAGGCUAUUGCCUGAAUACAUUAGCAUGGAAUAAUGAAAUAGGACGGCAUGGUUCUAUUUUGUUGGUUUCUAGGAUCACCGUAAUGAUUAAUAGGGAUAGUUGGGGGCAUUAGUAUUCAAUUGUCAGAGGUGAAAUUCUUGGAUUUAUUGAAGACUAACUUCUGCGAAAGCAUUUGCCAAGGAUGUUUUCAUUAAUCAAGAACGAAAGUUAGGGGAUCGAAGACGAUCAGAUACCGUCGUAGUCUUAACCAUAAACUAUGCCGACUAGGGAUCGGACGAUGUUAAUUUUUUAAUGACUCGUUCGGCGCCUUACG